rnacentral:rRNA from 1 species
UACAGAGGGUGCAAGCGUUGUUCGGAAUUAUUGGGCGUAAAGGGCGCGUAGGCGGUGCGGUAAGUCUGCAGUGAAAUCUCUGGGCUCAACUCAGAGUCUGCUGUGGAAACUGCCGUGCUUGAGUGUGGGAGAGGUGAGUGGAAUUCCAGGUGUAGCGGUGAAAUGCGUAGAUAUCUGGAGGAAUACCGGUGGCGAAGGCGGCAAUCCUGGACCAUAACUGACGCUGAGCGCGAAAGCUAGGGAGCAAACGGG